rnacentral:rRNA from 3 species
UAGACUUCAAAUCAGGUGGGACUACCCGCUGAACUUAA